ACUUAUGUUUUACUUCUCUAAAUCCAAUAAAAAUAGUAUCUCACACUAUUUUUAUUUAUUUUCACUUUUAUAUUAAAGAUCCGGUAUGCUACAUUCCACCGCAGCCUCACCGGAACCAUUUAAAUGGCUUUCCAAUCGAACGUACACCGUAACCUCAUGAUUUUCGAAGUCCGGUACCUUACAUAUGACGUUGGAUAAUCCGGAUUAUUGUUUUGGCGCCCUGCCGAUGAGAGGGUUUUGUGCGCCAACGAAUUGAUUGCCCUUAUUUGUUGUAGAGCGGUUGUGGUUACGG
rnacentral:lncRNA from 1 species